CUGCAAAGAACACAAGCAUAAAUCGUCUGAAAAAGGCCCCUGUGCCACCUGUAGAGCAGUUCUGGAAGAUCAAACGUUAUUCCUGCAGUACUAUGAGCUUGAUUUUGCUGCCAGUUUUCUAAACUACAAUCUGUUUUGCGGCUGAGCCACUGAGGUUGAAGAUGUCUCAUUUCUACAUGUUCUGCCUUUUCAGACAUCCAGUGCCAAAGGGCUUCAGAUUUACCCGAGGCUAUUGUCUAAAACUGCAUUGAUGACAUCAGAAAGAAUUCUCUGUGUACAGACUCUUCAGAUCUUUCUGAGUUGGCCUUUAUAAGAUGCUUGCAAUUUCCCAGGAGGCAGUGGAUCUGUAGGAAGGCAGGCAGGGGUAUAAAUCCAUAAAGGUAAGGACGCUUCCCUUAUUCAACUGAAACAUCUAAAAGAAGAAAAUUCUUUUCCGCGAGGUGUUGUUCAAAGAACUGAAGGCCUGGAAUAAUUUAUCCGGCUCCUACAGCACAAUCUUUGGCAACAACCCUGCUGGGGAAGAAUUACAGAAGAGAAGCUAAGGGAGACUUCAUUGUGGGGGCUCAGUGAUCUUGUCACUGUCACAUCUUCUGUAUGCCUGCAGGAAUUUCACCCAAUGUGUUUACUGGCAAUAUAUCAUUCAGUAAUGUCUCCCCACAGCAGUGGUCUGUACUGUGCCUCCAGAUGCAUAUCCAUGGAACUGCACAGUUGCGUCUGGGCAUGAUGCCAUUCUGGUGCUGUUCGGCCUGAAUGACGGAAACAAAGCAAAGUUUGAGAGUCAUUCCGAGCCAGGAAUUGUUUCCUGUCUGACAAAACACUUUCAGAGAGCGUUUAUUAGAAUCCCAUAAGCUCCUUUUUGUUGUGUGUUUGCACAGCACCUGGCACCACGGGACCCUGGUUCAUGACUGGGGACUCCUAGGCUCUACAAAUAAUAAUAAUACUGUGUACUGUCAGCAUGCACUUAGAUUGUAAGCUCUCUGCAGCAGAGACUGUCUCUGUGUGUAAAUGGCCUAGCACAAUGGGCCCUCAAUCAUAGUAGCACAGCUGGGAAGAGAACCGUCUGUCAUAAUCUGAUCUAACCACUGCCGCAUGGUGCCUUCAUGAUAUAGGAAUUCAGGAUGGGGAUAAGCCUCUUACCUGGUUCCUCGGUGAGCAUGGUGUGUUUGGCCAGGCUUUGAAGGAACAGCCAGUCCCUUGCUGAUGAGUCUAGUUUUCCCCCAUGCUGCGGUGUCGCUCUCUACAAGACAUCACAACAGGAGGAGUUAAAACAAGAACAUGUUGUCUGUGGUUAUCUGCAUACAGACCUGCCAGUCAGAUGUGGAAAAGCAGCUAUUAGUUUGUAUCAGCUGAUCACAAAAGCCACAGGCUGGUUAAAUCCCAAUGUGCCCAUCACAUAUUUCAGAGGUCAAAAAAACCAAACAGAUAAUGAUUACGAAUGAUUAAUAGAACAGUAGCUACUAAGCCCAGGGGGUUAGCACAACAGAGAAUAAGGCUAUAUAUACACAUUUCGGUGUCAGGUCAUUUACAGACCUCUGGUAAAUAGCUGAAUUAAGUGUUGCACUGACUCGCUUUGUCCGUGGAGGGUGAUUUUUCAUAGUGAUACACUGUCAGGAUAAACACAGAUCCAUCUUUGUGAAACACCUUUUACAGCUGACCCAGCCCCUUGUGCCAUGCAGGAGAAGGGAGGACAAAGGAUGGCAAACAUCGCAGGGGGCCACAGGACUGGGCAGCUAAGAUGCAGUGGGGCUUUUCUUGGGUCUAAUGUGCUUGGAAAAGAGCGAUGAGGGCUCUAAAUACUCUAAGAGCUUCUUUGGUGUUUCUGGUUAACGCAGUCAUGGAUGUGGAGACAGUGCAAACAAACCCCAGUGUUCUAGAGUGAGAGAAGCCUUUCCUUAGGGGGAGAGAGAGAGAGCGUAGCCCUGCCACUUCCUCUUCACUGCCCCUUGACUGCAGUUGUGAGCUUGGCCCUGAAUCGGUGAGAUCAGACUUGUACCCACCUGGAUGGCUCACAGAGAUUAUAGCUCAUGCUACCUUCAGGUCACUACCUGCAGGUCUACGGGAAUGAGAGCUGUUACCUUCUCACCCAGUUGUGUUGGCCUGUGUGAAAUGGAUUGAUGGUUUCAGACUCAUCUCUAGUGGACAGGUGUCCACCUCACUUAAACCAGUAUUUAUCCAAACAGGCAUGCUCAUCAGCCAUUGAAUGGCCUUGAGGUAGUGAGGAAGAGUGGUCUUGUGGUUAAAGCAGUACAGUGGGACUCAGGAGUCCUGGAUUCAACUCCUGGCCCUGCCACAGACUUCUUGUGAUACCCCGGGCGAGUCACUUAAUCACUCUGUGCCUCAGUUUCUCCAUUUGCAUAACAGGAAAUGUCAUACUACUUUUAUCUGAGGCUGUCUACACCUACACUCUAUGCACUUUGGAGCAGGCCCUGUUUCUUACUAUGAGUUUGCAUAGCACAUAGCAUGAUGGGGCCUUAAUCUAGCAGCUACUAUAAACAUGAAGACAAACAAAAUAAUAAUGAGGCAGUGUCUCUAAAUGAGAGUGGCUUGAUACCACUCUUAUUGCUGCUCCUCAUGCUGUGUGAACUCUUCUGUGGAAGACCAGGGCAUCAUUUCCCAGUGCUGUUGAUUUGCGGCACCUUGCCCACUAAAUUUACACACACAUCAAUCAGAUCCAUUGCAUCCCAAAAGCUUUACAGUAAAUUCUUCAGUGCAGGUAUCUAAGAAACUCUCAGGGAAGAAUUUCACGCAGACACGCUUCUGUAAAAUAUGGUCAUUUUGUUUUUUUUAAAAAAGAUGUUUGUUAAAAUUCUGUUAGAAGCAAGUUUUUCCUCAUAUGAGAUGGGGGAAGGUAUGGGGAGGAAUCUUUUUAAAAGUGUUGCUCCAAGAAAACCCGACUUCAAUGAACUGAGGGAGUCUGGUUAAACUUUUAAACCCUGUGCUCCUUGAAGUGAUGCCUUUAAUGGUUAGUGCUGAAGCUGCUACUGACUGAGUUGAUCUUCCAGCUAUUCAAGCUCAAAAUAAACUCAUUGGGACACACAAAGGAUGUAAUUAUAUCUUUAUAAAAUUUGCAGUGGGAUUUGGGCAGGACCUAUGAGUUGAAGUCACUGCAUAUAUCUGUGUUGAUUCCAGGCUGAAGUUCAGAGAUUUGCUUAAUAACAGAACACCAUAGUUUUGCACGUCUAUAGUCCCUUUCAAUGGAGGAUCUUAAAGCACUAAUGAAUUAAGUUUGACAAUGCCCUUGUGAGGUAUGGAAGCAGCCUAUGGAGGCUGAGUGACUAACUCAUGGUCACACAGUCUGUAGGUGACAGAACCAGGAAUUCCCCAUCCCUUGGUGACUCCCCAUCCCUUGGUCUAACCUCUAGACAACCUGGCUUCCGCUCUAGUUUUCAGGGGGUGCAUUUGUAACAAGCCAGCGUACGCUCUUCAGACUAGAAUGAACAGCUGAGUCAUGGCAUCUAUGGUACCAAUUAUGGGUUAAACUUGAACAAAGCAAGAAGUUCUCCCCUCCGCUACAGCGUAUUAACAGGCAAAGGAGUUAAAAGUGCACAAUAAAAGAAAACUAACCUGGAAAGAGAAAUCCCCUUUCUUGCUGCAGACUGGUGGGUCCUUUGUAAUGGCGCUUUCCCCUUUAGGCCUGUUGGCAUCGUCUCUGCCAACUCUGGCUAGGGCGGCAUUAGCUGAUGGCUCGGGUGAUGUUUUGUGGAUAGAAGGCAAAUGCCUUUCCUAGCAUCUUGCUGAAUUGAGACAUGCCACUCUUGAUUUGCACACGCACGGUCCCCUCCCCACAUCACAGAGCACGCUGUUCAGAUUGCAUCUCCCUGCAGCACUUUCCGCCACAGCACAAGCUCCAGGCCAUGAUUAUAGAUCAGGCUUUAUAUCCUCCUGUAAAUCCCGUAUCCUGUAGCAGGUAUGUGUUAUAAACAUGUCUCCAGAGGAUUCCUUUUCUUUCCUUCAGUCGUCCACCCACUCAGUAACUAAAAUGCCUGAUUUUCAAUAUUCUUCUGUUAUCCUCUACUGUCCCAUGCAGGAUCAACCUUUUAAAACUGUUGGAUACGAGGAAAAUCGGAAAGAUUUUACCUGUUGGAGGCACCCAGGGGUUGUAAAGUUUACAUCCCCCCCCCGCCCCCCAUGACGGAUUACAUCUGUUUAGGAACACAGCUGUCAGUAUAAUUAACAAUCUAGUCCCACGGUAGGGAGCUGAGAAGUAGUACAAUGGAAGGAAUCUCUGCAGCACUUUGUCCUUCAGAGUAGCAAAUUAGACAGCCAUAAAUAUACCUGCAGUAAAGGGGAGGGGGUAGGAGAGGGAGAACAGGGAAGGCACAUCGGGAGCAUCUUAAAUUAGAACAAAAAUAACCCACUUGAUUCGCAUUGAUUAGCACGAGUCAUUUGCCUUACAAAUACCACUGUGCUAUCAGCUUUGGCUGAAAAUAGCGUGAAAACUCUUCAGGGCAGGAAACACAGUUCCUCCUGUGCGUGUACAGCUCCGAGCACAACGGGGCCCCAAUCUGGAUUGUCCAGUGAUACAGUUAUUAACCAUUAAUACUACACUGUACCAACAACUUGAAGAGCCCAAAGACAUCAGUUGGUUUUGAAAAUCCAAAUCCUGGCUUGUGCUACCCCAGGGUCCGCGCAGCUGAAUUUAAUCCUUGGGUAAGACAAUGGGCUGAUAGCCCUAUAAGCUCAAGUCCUUCAACUAUUCCUACAACAAAUACUGUAUAGCACAUGGCCGAUCUCUCAGGGUGAGGGGAAUUUAGUCUCCUUGACUCACGCAGCCCAUGGCAAAUCAGCUGGGGCAUGGGAACCGAGUAACGUCAGCUGCAGGAUUGUUAUUAAAAUGACUGCUACCCAGGCGGGAAGACUAUUUCAUUUGUGCUCCGCUCCAGCUAUUCAUUUCUGCACUUCCAUACCUGCAAAUCCUACUGGGACGGCUCACGCUCCACCCUUAGCUAGAUUCAGGCAAUAUCUCUGACCUCACAGUGGGGCUGUCGGAGGGCAAAAUAUGGUCCAGAGUGCGUUAAUAAACCAUGUCACUGUAAAUGAAAUAUAUUACAUCCUGUAAAGCCAAGAUUAUUUUAGGCACGCUCAACACUCAGACCAACUAUAUCUUGCCUCCCCAUUGAUCCAAAUGAUUCUGAGAACUAGAACUUGAAGACCUCAAAAAUAGACCUGCUUUGGUUUGACUUCCCAUCUUCUUAUUUUUAUAAGCAUACUGCAGAGUGCUCGAACUAAGCUGCAACAAAACUAGGAGUUUCUACCAGUCAUUGAAGUCCUAAAAUACAGUAGAUCAGGCCUGAUUUGUUAGUUUGGACUCUUUCCCCAAGCCUCUUCUUAGCAAAUACAUUUGUUAUUAUUUGUAUCGAGGUAGCACCCAGAGCCUCAUUCUGUUAGGCACUCUGCAAACACAGGAGACGCUAUGGUCCCUGACCGGAAGAGCUUUAGACCUGACAAACAAAUCAAUUCUUAUUUUAUUGAGGGAUCUGUAAUUUUUGUUCAAGUGGAUACAUUUCAGACCAAAUCCUACCAUCUGUGCUUAUUUAAAUGUAACCGGUCAUGAGACUGCAUCACUGUCUUCUACUAAAGGGACUCAGAACUACUCAAGCAUGUUUCAUCGGCUCUAUACAGCUAACAGUUAAUGAAGAUUCUCCAUUAGCUCACGUAGUGAUGACCUGUGCUUCUAGGACCAUGAAGAUCUGAGUGAAAUUCCUGUGUGUCCAUCCUGUACAACGUAGUGUGACCACUGCAAGGUCCUUUGGCAUCUCUGAAUUUGGUGCAAAAUAUUUUAUGGUCUGCCUUAAAAUCUCACUGUGGAUAUGAGGAGAACAAUUUAAUGACUCAAAACAAAAAUGGUGAGCUGCUUUUAGGACCAGGGUAUUUAGAUGGGGAAUUAAUUUUGCUAUUUCCCUAGUCUGGUUCCAGGAGCGGCAGAAAGAGCUCUGCAAGGUUAUAGCUCAUGCUAGCUAUCUGUGCAAGCAGAGAGGGAUGCCUCCAGGUCUCUUGCAGCCAAUAAAGCCUUUGGACCUACUUGGAUAUUUAGCUGCUAGAGGGCAGUUGGUUGCAUGGGUAACCUUUUCAAAAGUUCCUAUACGAUGUAAGAGCUUCCCAGCUUGUCUACACGGGGAAGCUAGUGCGGAGAUAGCUAGGGUGUGAAUUAAAGCACACGAACUCCCCAUGUGAACACUCUUACCCUGCCCCAGGAGUGCCUGUGUGCAGGUUAGGGUGCACUAGCUAAUCGGCACUAGCUACUCCAGGCUUUUCCCCACGUAGACCAGCCCUCUGUCCUAUUGAAAGUCAAUGAGACUUAGAGGCACACUUGAAAAUUUUACCCCAUGUCUCUUUUCAAGUCAUCUCUACCUUGAAUGGAGGGACAAGGUUUCCAGGGGAGAUGCCUCUUUCCCACACUUCUUAUGUUUUCGAUGUUCCCCUCCACUGAGUGAUGCUCUUCAGGAGAAGACAAUGCUGGGAUCCUGACAUUCCACUCCAGUGUAGACGAUCUGUCAGACAACACGGUUCACAGUUAACAUGGCCAGUGGGAAAACAGCCACUUCUAUGGCUGAAGGCGAAAGAAAAGAAAUACAUAAAUGCUAAGCAUGCACUGAGGAAAAAAAAAGAUCACGUUUGGCCUAAGUAUCAAAAUGUGCAGAUAGGAACCUCCUGCACUGACAGCCGUGGUGACGUGAAAGGCAGCAGCAGAUCAAGUAGCUCGCACGACUCUUAUGUUGCACACACAUCUUCAGAAACGUCACACAUACACUGUGGGAUCUUCCAAAGGGCAAAAUCUGGCCUUCAGCUUUAGGAGCAACAACCCACCUGCAUCAAGUUGUUAACUGGUGCCAAAGUUUGUGAGAGCGUGUACACGUGCAUAUACGAAUAUGUGUUUUGUAUACUCAAAUACAGCCAUAUACACAUCCGUAUGUGUGUGCACGAGAGUAUGGGUGUGUGUAAAGGGGGUGGAAUAGAGUCGAAGGGCCUAAGUCCCAUUUUCAGCAGUGCCACGGGCACGUCAGAGCAUAAGUCUCAUGGAAAAAUCAGUGGGACUUGGAUUACUAAACGUCAAAGUCAUUUCUGAAAAUGGGGUUUUGGCUCCUAAAUCACUCAGGCCAGGCCAUCACUACACUGCAGACUUCUGCCAGCAUCGUUAUGUCAGUCAGGUGUGAAGAGGUGUGAUCCCUGGCCGACACAGCUGUGCCAGCUGAAGCCUGAAGCGGAGAGGCAGCUGUACUGGCAAAGCUUCUAGUAAAGCUUGUUUUGCUCCUGGGGGGUGGUUUUCCUACACCAGCACCCAGAGCAGCUUAGCCUGCAUAGCUGCAUCCACACUGGAGCACUUUGCCGGGAUCGUAUACUGGUCUUCCUGUACCGGUGGAGCACUGCUAAUGUGGACAUCACCUCAGGUACUUUGAAAACGUUGACCUUAAGGUCCCGUCUGAUUCCCAUUCACUUCAGCGAGGCAGGAUCAGGCCUGAAGUUAAAAGAUGGCAUGACAAUGGCAGGCGGCUGGGCUCACGUUACCAGGUAACUCGUGCAAUGGCGCGUCACUGAACGGUUUUGUUGUCAGUUUUAAAUGCACUAAAUGACUAAGGCAAAGCGUCACGUUAAGGAUCCAUUUACAAAUGCUUCGCUGUUUAUUCAGUGGGGACCAAAUGCACCUUUGCUCCUUAAUGCCCAAUUGUACAGCACGCUGCAGGACAGAGACAUGGGAGUUGCAUUUCCUGUGAAUUUCAACCAGAACCUCCAGCCCCCUCAAAACUUCACCCUUACUGUUCUCAGCAAGUGGUAAUGGGGGAUUUCCUGGCUUGCUCGGCAAGAGAGAUGAUCCUAAAGCGCAGCACUACACACUGGAAAGCACGACUGUUUUCCUGAACAACGAAGGCAGUUGCUUACCUGGGAACAGUACUCAACUCCAUCUUCCAGUCUUCAAAUCUCUGAAGGGAUAACACAGGCCAGGACGGGACCAGGGCAAUGCACAGCUUGCCAAUGACCACAGCAAAUGCAGCCAGCCGUGGCGUAGGGUUGACGAGUCCAUCAUGACAUGGUGACGUGUCCAUGCUGGAUUUCAUCCCUUGGCAACGACCGCAGCUGUGUACUUCAAAAUUGCGUGGAGAACUACUGGCCUGCGCACUGCUGUGAGGACAGCUAGCCUAAGGGAGUUUGCAGCACAUCGAGCUGGGGUCCUAAGUCAAGGGAAUGAGGCAGAAGAUCAGUGUCAUUUGGAUCUUUGGAUGGUAAAGCACUGGCCUCAACUCCCCUUACCCAGACCUCCACAAAAGCCUAUCUACAUGGGCCUGGGUCCAGUUGGAUGGAGAUCCUCCACGGAGCCAGAGUGGCAAGUUUAGCUCAGAUUCGGGUUUGUGUGGCACCCUUCUUCCCAAAGCACAGACUUCAGUGCAGAGAGGGCAGUGACUGUGUAGGCAAACACACACCCAUAGCUCCCACAGCCUGGGAGAUACCUGUCAGAACAAGGGAACAUUUGCCAGCACUUAAUAAUAAUUAAUAACAAUGGUCCAAAAGGUCCUAGUGACACUUGUAUAAUGCAAUAUUUGGAGACAGUUCUGCAGUCCCCCUCUUCACCCCCCACUCCCCAUAAGGGACGGCGCUAGGCUUACUGGCUCCUGCUUUCAAAGAGUGCAAUGGGAUGGAUUGCUUACCUUCCAGCUGAGUGAGCCCUGUAUCACCAGUGCACCUGGACGAUGGUACCACCAAGAAUGCUGGCAUCCCUCCCUGCACACAUGGCGUCCUGACAGAGGGCUUGAUUUCAGAGUUGGAACUGCCCUCCAGGUGUUCAGCAGAGUUGUAUCGAUACCCAUCUGGGCUGGAUUUGGCCAGGGGCCUUCUGGUGCCUGCUACCACCUAAACCCUGACCCUACAAUCGGAUCUACAUGAACAGACCCUUGCAACUGUUGGGAGGCCUAUAUAAUUCAUUGGAGCUUGGUGUGAGUACAAGGGUCAACAGGAUGUUCAGGAUCUUAGCUGCCUGGUCACCAUUUGAUGCAAGCAGCUGAGUAUUGGGAUAAAACCUAGGACAUACUUUUCUUUCCCUGGCAUUCGUUGCCUUUUAGAAAAGGCUUAACAAAAGAGAGUUACAUCUUAUAAAGACAAUGCCAAGCUCUGCUUUAUUUUAAUCAGUUUGAUCAGUACAAAAGCAGACAGCGUAUGUUUCGCUUUUUUUUUUUUUUUUCCAUUUUAAUUAACACUUUACAAAGUACAAAAUAUACUGUCAUUUGUUUUGGAACAUGAGGGUUUUUUUUUUUUUCUUUUCCAUACAGUACAACAAAUCUCGAGUUUCAGCAAAAGACCAGCAAGUAAAAUAAGCAUGUGCACUCUCUGUGUAAAGCAAAACCAUCCAUCUUCCAGCUCCACGCUUCAUACAAGAACAAGAACAACACCCUUCGCUGCUGUUGCAACGCGACCGCGUGAAAUUCACCUCUGUGCAGAGGGUUGGCACAAGGGCUAUCAACCAUUUAAAUCUCACUGAAGCCUUUCCACCUCAACCUAGCAAAGACUGGUACAUGGACAUAAUUCUGCAUGCUGCAAACCGCCCCACUGGCUUCAGCUGAGUCACUCAACAUGCAUGUGUGUGUCAGUCUGUGCAGGAUUAAAGUCUUAGGGAACACAAGUGUUGCACCAGUCCCUCGCAUAGGGGUGAACUGCCCCUUCAGUCAGCCACUUUCCGGAACAUUGUUUUUUUUUUUUUAAAGAAAAGUCUCCAUCACAUCAUUUAUCCCAAUUAAAAAAAAAAAAAAAAGAUGGUUCCAAUUAAGGAACGGCUUUGUAAAUUCCCGUUUCUGCAAGACACCAGCAAAGACAGAACACAAUGGAAAUAAACAAGGCCGUGUUACCAAAUGUUUCUUUUCACACCCCCAGUCCCUCACACCCCACUGUACGAUAACAGCAACAAUUUUGCUCUCAGCACCAGGAGUGUUUGCCAAAAAUUCAGAUGCCAUUUAGGGCUUGAACGUAUCAUACUGGUGAUUAAGUUAUACAGGAAAGUUCAGCUCAGAUGCAUUGUGUUCAAGGAGUCUCUGGAGAUUUCAGUGGUGUUUAUCCCAAUUUUCCAACUGGGCUGAAUGAAGCACAAGGUGGGAAGGGUGACCGGCCAUAGGUCCUAGGGUUGGCAAGGCUUAGGAAUGAGAAUUUCUCUGAUCUGGUUAUUUGCCAGAAAACCUGAGCCACACAACAGCCUCCUAACUAUGGUCUGCUUCAGUCUGCUUAGCAGUAAUUUGGACCAGGGCUGGAUUUUUUAAUUCAAGAAAAAGAGUAAUCAAUGCCCUGUUCAAGUAAGUCACAACAGGAAUAAAAUGGCCAUUAACAGCGAAGUGCCCUAGGGAAAGGGCCAGAUUCUGAUGUGAGUUACACUAGGAGUAACUCUGCUAAAUGCAACAGAGUUUCCAAGGGGGUCUGACUGCAAGGGGGUUCUACACCAGAGUCUGUCCCAAAAUGCUCACCUAAGAAUUGGCAUGGUCAUUCCAUUAAAAUAGCCCAUCCAAAUGAAAGUUCUCAAGGUGCAGCCUAGGGUCGAGCUGUUUGAAGCAAAGUAACACUGAUGUUGGGAAAAUCCAACAUACAGCCCGCUCCACAAAGCCCUGCUCUCAAGUUUCUUUGCCUCAGACUUAGAAACAGGAUUUCAGGGCCCCCCCCCAGUUCAAAAUUCCAUCUACCAGGCCUAGGCCCACCAAGGACCUCGGGACUGGCCCUCCAUAUUCCUACUGGAGCGAUCAAGGUUAACUACUCACACAAGUAAAGGUUUACAGCAUCCAGCUCUGAGAGUUGGUGCAUUAAAUACAUGACCUCCAAGGGUAGCGUUAGAGAACACUGAAGAGGCAUGGCCCGUUCACUCAAUGGGAGCACUGUCAUUACAGUCUGACACCGGCAUUGUGGGUUCGAGGGCCUAGUUUUGGUUGACCUCCUAAAAAAUAACGCAGAAAGGAGUUUGCACUGGAAGGAAACGCUGCAGAAUUAGAGCCAGCACCAACAAACUAUCACCCCCUCGGACUACCCCUUCCCAGACUCCGACUCUAAGGCCAGCACAGUAUCUGGCAUGUGAUGAAACAAGUCCCCAGUCCUUCCUCAGUGCCUCUAAUGACCGCAGUGAAUAUCAGUUACCACAGGUAAAGCAGAGGGGGUUAUGAAUGAAGAGAGACAGUCAAUGGGACAGAGGGCUGGGUCCUGGUCCCACUGAAGUCAAUGGGAAUUUUGGUACCGACGUCAAAAGUGGAGCAGGGGCGGUCAGCAUUCUGCUCUGGAACUGCAGCUUAAGGCCACAGAUCCAGUAACUGAUAGCAGUGGUCACCUACCAUCAAUUGCAGGAUUAAGACCUAUGUUGUUAUUAACAUUAGCAGUGGGUUUUCCCACGUCUAUAGGAAACCUGCUGACAAACGAGGAUUGCCUUUGCAUUGGGAAAUAUUUUCAGAAUUGCACUCGAAGAGGCCAUCAAAAACAAUGGGAAAACGGACAUUCUUAUCCCCCCAGAGAAGUUUUAAAAAACAACCCCCACCUCAAAACCAAUAAAUGUAUUCUCCUGCCCCCUACGCUACAGUAUACGUUUACAAAGUCAGAGCAAAUAGAAACCCAGAGGAAGAUGGGAAUAGCAAAGAGCCUUGGGGUCUCAUUUUCGUUGAUACGAAGACCCCUUUUUUCAUUGCUCUGGCAGGGCUAAGAGGCUUUAAAGUGGGCAUGAAUGUAGCCUGCACCCAUUUGAAUUUCCCUUGACAUUGCCAGAAUGGCGUAAAGUGACUUUGGUGUAAAUGAGAAUCGGGCCCUUGGAGUUCUAAUUGUCAGCCCAGUGCUGCUGCGACAGAACAUUCUUUAGUCACCAAAACCUGCCGAUUUGAGAAUGAGCAACCGCGGAGGGAUGCGGUGGUGGUGGUGAUGAUGAUGAUAUCGAGGGAGGGGAAGUUAUUUUUUUUUAAAUGAAAUGCACAACAGAAGUAAAGCCUAGGCCUUCACCUCAAAGCAGACGUUACCCAUUCCCAACAUACAAAGGAAAAACUGGAAGUUUCUAUUGCAGAACUGUCUUUUUUAACCUACAAACAAGCAAACACAUCUGCCAAUGAGAUGUCCCUGAAUACUGACUGACUGGAUUUCAUCUCGGCCUAUGUGAAACGGCACCACACACGCACAAAAACACAAAAGGAAAACAUGGAGAACAGCUGGCAGAAAGGAGACAUUCAAAAUUCAAUUAUUUCUUCAAGACGAGACUAGCUAAAUAGAAGCAUAGUGCUGCAGGUUAACCAAGGAACGGUCUAGAACAGCUCUGGCACACCUGUGUGUGCUCCAGAUGAUGGGUUACGCUUCAGGAUCUCUCUCUUCUAACACACAUCCUAGUCUUGCUGAAGGGUAAAGGUCUCUGCUUUUCCAGACGUAUACGGGGGGGGGAGGGGAGGAGGGGGCGGCUUUUUACAUAAGGAUUUUUGUUUUAGCAGUAUUGCCAACCUCACACGUUCAAAAAUCAUGAGUCUCUGGACUCAAAAAAAUCAGAAUAUUUUUAAAAAUGAUAAAUUUGGGGUUCUUUUUCUUUGCCUUCUGGUUUCAGAGCUUUUUGGGUGGACUCAGGUUCAUUUUAGAGGUGGUACAUAUUCACGUGAUGCACUCAGUUCAAAUGCCCCCCUAUUUCCCUGCAAUCCAGCAUCCACUCUUAAGCAUGUGCAUAGUUUUAAGCAUGGAAAUAGGCUUGCACACAGGCUUUGCUGGAUUGGGGCCUUAAAGAACAUUGGUGUUCAGAACAGUUAUACCUCUAUAAAAAUCAGACUGGGGAAAAUGGUGGAGGUUUCUCUUUUUAGCACAGUGGCAUUCCCCUUGAAGGCUAAGAGAACUAGAAGCUUGGUAUUAGUUCAUUUUCAGAUUAGAAAAUAACUGGUAAGAAUUAUUAUUAUUAUUUAGCUAUUAUUGUAAUUGAUGAAGGCUGGUACCAAACCCACAACAUCCCGCUGGAAAGCUGAAAAAAACCCUACUGCAUAAACAUUGCCUUUCACUGAUCAAUAACAUGCAGCAACUGGAAACAAAUGAAUGAAGCCAUUUUUGUGAUAUUGCCCUAGUGGCAUACGAUAGGGGUUUUGAGUAGCUAGUGAAAGAAGAUGGUGAGUUCUAGCUAGAAAUGCUUAUGCACAACCAUGGUUCUUUACCUGGUCCUGAGCAUUUGCCACCAAUCAAACUCCUUCAGCAGAUACUAUAGUAACUGUUAAGUUUGAGGUAUUACUAUGUAAGCAGUGGCAGCCUGCUUGCAGCUGUACAAAACUCAGCCAUACCUUGAUUUUACACCCAGAGCUCAGGGCAGGUAAAAAAACAUAUCAAGUGGACCAAAGACAAACUCAGAACAAAACCAGAGAGACAGAACAAAACCAACCUGCUAAGGCCACCACAGCCCACUUGAAAACUGAGGGUGACAUUCGCCCCUUUGUCUAGGACCAGUCCAUCGCUUGGUGUCACUUAAAGUGGAUCAGAAGUACUACGUAGCCUUGAGAUGACCCUCUGCAUGGGGUGAAUUGCAUCCCUAAGUAGAGGGUGGGGGCCGAGAUGAGCCAUUUUCACUGCAUCUUGGCUUGAGUGUUUGCUCUGAGAUUUAUGGCCAUGCCUGGCCAAUGUUCCCUCUGCAGAGUCUAUGGGCUUUUGUUUUGAUGCUUGUUAAAGUAAAAGAGUUAGUUUUUCAUGUACGAAGAGAAGAGCAAAAGCAUGCUCUCUUCCUCCCCCCUUCGUGAAGUGUUUUCUGGCUCCUGUCGUACAAUUCUCUCCUGUUGCUGGCAAAGCCACUGCUGCCUCCUUUUGGCCCCAGCCCUCUCGUCAGCUCACACUCUGUGGUUUCAGCUCGGUUCUCCCGUCACUACCGGCAAGCAGCAACUCAGUUCUAGCUUAGGGAGCCAUCCAACUUAGUGGCAAAAUUCCCAUGGACUUCAGUGGCAUGGGAUCAGAGCCCGCCAUCAUCUUUCUGGAUACAGGGAAAUGGCCAGUUCUAUUGGCACACAGUCUAGUGGGGCCAACAUAAGGCUAUUAACAUACAAACUGCACACAUGUUUAUUGGUUUAAACUAAGACAAUUAGAUGGGGCUGGGGGGUAGGGGGAUGGGAAAGAGUAAAGCAGAGAUCAUUUAAAAACACUAGAUUCUUAGUUUACCAUUGGCCCACGGGAAUACAGGACUGAAUAAUGGAAAGAAUCUACUGCACAUAUGCGUGUGCAUGUAGCGUUUACAUACUGGCUGAGAAGUGCAAAGCUGUCGAAGGGAUCUGUAUGCUCGAUUUCUAUUAAUUCACGCACAUAGAUAUGUCUGUACAAUGGACACAUUAUAGAGGCAUACAGGCACGCAUAGAUGGGAAGUGGGCAUCCAUAUUUCUUAGGUAGCUUUAUAAAUCUCAGCCAGUACAUAUGCAUCCAAAUACACACACACACACAAAAAUUGUAUAUGGUAAAAGAAGUACUGGAUUUUACUAUCUGGCAGGUAAUAAAAGUUUAAUCCGUUCCAACGUUUAUAGACUGCAUUAUAACAGCUAAGUGAGAUGCGUUAAACUGCUUACUGUUGUUAAGAAUAAAAAAAUAAUAAGCUCCACCAGAAAAUGACUUCUUGUCCUUUAAUGAAUUCUUCUAGGAGACAUUUUUGCUUGUGAGCCAGCUGCUGAAGUUCAGACUUGUCUGGUCUAUUAUCUCCCACACAAUCACUCCAGUGGCUAGCAGGGCAACACCCCUCUCCCCCACAUAUAUUUUCCAUCAUCCUGGUAACAUUGCUAAGCUGUUGAAUGAGGCGCUCUUGAAACCACAGCCUACAGGGCAUGAGAUGUUACUUGCCACAUCUCUGCUUUCUUCACUCUGUUUUUAAGGUUCUGCUUUUCAGGAAGAUACAAUGCAUAGGCAGGAGGGAUGGGGUCGUCCCACAAAAAAAUAUCCCACAUGAUAAAGAGAGUGGAGGCAACCAGAUAGAAAACAAAUCAAUCUGAGGGAGCUCUCUCGCCUCCCCCUCAAGUCCCAUAACCUAAACUAGUGUGCCAACUCCCCACUCUACUUUGGUCAGAAGACUAGUGAGGUAACGCUAUUAACUAAGGCCCUGAUCCUGCAAUAAGCUCUGUGCAGGCACCGGAGUUUGUGACCCAAAUCUUACCUAAGAGAUGCUCUGAGGCUUUUCCUGGGAAAGAGGUUGCAACAUUAGAAAGAUUCACUGAAUAUUUCCACUUUUGGGUGCGCUAAUACUCUCUCCUCAAGGCCGGCUCUGUGAGACAAAACAACCUGAUUUUGACUGAGGUCUCCACUGGGCUGGGGAAAAAAAGUUGUCUUAAAAAAGAAUGCAAUUCAGCUUCGAUUCGUGACUAAACCAAAGACGUAUUUGUUCUUUUUGCAAGAUUAAUAAAAACAAAAAUUAUUUAUUUUGCGUCGUUCGGUUUUGCAUCUCACCUCACCUUGUUGCAAACUCUGAGACACCCUCACUUGCAACAGGGACCAAUCUUCCACGUUUGCUCCUCAAUAAUGCCUCACAUCCUGAUGCCAGGAGCCCUCACCUGCCCUGCGCAGACAGAAGCAAAACCCUGAUGCCCAGAUCUGUCACCUGCCUUGCAGAGUCAGAAACAAAACCUUGACACCAUUUAUCACCCACAGGGGUUCCCCCCCCGCACACACUGCCUGACCUAAAACCAUCCAAUACAUGCUUUCGUUCUGGUUAUUGAGUGAAGGGCCCAAUUCUGAUCUCACCUGCAAUGGGUUUAUAUCAGCAGCUGCAUUCACUUCUGAUUUAUCCUGGGGAGAAUGUGGGGCCAGGACCCGCGUGUGAAACUACUGCCACUGAUGUGAGGAUUCCAAAAGGACUAGGAAGAUCACAGGACAGGCCCCCAGGCUGGCGUAAGUUGCCAUGUCUACACUGAAGUCAAUGAUGCUCUAUCAACUAACAUCAGCUGAAGAUCUGGCUCCUCAAGGUCAACUACAUCUGUAAGAGCAAAAAAUGUCGGUGUAUUAUGGAAGAUCUAAGACGACAAAAAUGGUACAUUUUUCAGGGCAAGAUGCUGAUAACUCACGCCGAUUAGCGCUUUACUCCACAAACAGUUUCCGUGGCUUCAGUGGGACGACUCAAUCAUUAAUACCAGGGUGGAUAAAAAUCAAUGAUUAAAAAAAAAAAAAUCUGAUUUUUUUUUUAUUUAAAUCGGAUUUUUUUGGUAAAAUGCUUUUUGAGGAAAAAGCCUAUCUAAAGAUAGUUUUAAUUAAGAUACCUUAUAGCUCAAAGAUAUCUCAUCAUGGAAUAAGGAUUAUAAAUUCUAAUUUUAAAGUAUGAGACAAUAUAUUCACGUAAUGUUUAAGAAAAGUUCUGUAAAUGAGUUCCAAUAGUUCAUGGAUUAGGGACCCAAUCUUAUCGGGUUCCAGGGGCUUCUGUAUAGAUUAUUUAGAUUAAUCUUUCUAUCUACCCAAUGGGACUCAGUGCUCAGGCUAGAGGAUAUCAUCAGAGAUGCUUAGUUUUUCAGUUCUCAAACUGUGGAUUUGUGUCUCCAGAGGUAACAUGCUUGUUAACAGCAAAAAUGUUUUAAAAUAAAUAAAUAAUAUAUAGAGGUGAAAAAUAACAGACCUCAACUCUAUUGUCCCUCUGCAAAUUUGUGUACACAGAGUCAAUCCCUUACCUCUCUCUAAAGGUGCAAAGUUUCAAAAAGUUCAAUGAAUAGAAGCUUGUUGGGGGCGGAAUAGAUCUGGACAAGGAGAAGAAGUCUGGAGAUAAAUGUGAGAAGCGAGGGACAUACGCUUGUUUUGUUAAAAUAUUAUAUGUUUGCUGUUGAAGAAAAAAAUCCAGAAUACUUAACGUUGUUGUUUUAGUUAACUAAAACAAUUUAAAUGUCUGUCUGGUGAUGUUCUCCUCCUAAGACAGCAUGGCAAGAAAAUCCUCCAAAUAUUAAUGAUUAACCUGUUGAAUUUGAGAUAGUUCACCUCCCAAUGACUUCAUAAAUAUCUGCUUCAAUUACCUUUGGUAAAUGAAAUAACCAAACAAUCAUUUGUUUUCUGAUAUAGUUGUAAAACUAAUCUGAAAAGUUUUCAAAAUAAAUCACUGUUUAAAAAUGUAUGGCAUGUACCUUCUAAAAAUGAAAACUACAUCUAUCUCUGAGUUGUGGAGAAUAUGUAUUAGGGUUAUAACAACCAACAAGAAUGCACUUUUAUGUAGAAAACCAUGAUUAAAUCGAGUCUUCCUGACUAGUGAUUUAAAUCAAUUUGCUUUAAAUCAAGUCCACCCUGAUUAAUACGAUUUGUGGAAUAAAGGUAAUGUGACCAUCUUACGGUAUCAAAA